AAAACAUGUUUACUGGAAUUAACAAGUACAUUUUUGCUAACCAUAUGAUCUCUUCAGUGUAGGUCUGACUUCCGUCUUCAAACCAUCAGUGAAAUUACAGAGAAAAGGAACAUAAACCUAUCAAAGAUUUGACACCAAAUGUAAAUUUUAUAAUUAAGUUAUAUAAAUAUGCAUGGCUCUGUUCCGCGUUCAGUGCAAGACUGACGAACUUGGAAUAUUCUUGCAUUUUUCUGUGGAGUUUGAACAAGCAGGGGAGAGACAUUUAAUACAAGAUGGAUGGUUUGGGACUAGCACUGUUUGGAAUUUGUUUAGUGUCAUUCACGGUUUCCAAACCGGUUAUUCUGUAUCAAAAGUUUACAGCAUCCAGUUCUGAAUCCUCUGAAUCAAAUGAGUCGAGCUCUUCAGAGGAGGCCACUGAACCGAAUCCAACAUUCCGACCCAUUGAGCUGAACACCCUGGGACAAGACAGCCUGCACCAAACCAACAACCCUACCGCACAACCAGGCCUUCCACAGACCACACUGGACCCUUCCCUCACAGGACAAGAGGUU